UACGGAGGCUCCAAGCGUUAUCCGGAAUCAUUGGGCUUAAAGGGUCCGUAGGCGGGUCAAUCAGUCAGUGGUGAACGUCUGCAGCUCAACUGUAGAAUUGCCGUUGAUAAUGUUAACCUUGAGUAAUUAUGAAGUGGUUAGAAUAUGUAGUGUAGCGGUGAAAUGCAUAGAUAUUACAUAGAAUACCGAUUGCGAAGGCAGAUCACUAAUAAUUCACUGACGCUGAUGGACGAAAGCGUAGGUAGCGAACAGG
rnacentral:misc_RNA from 1 species